GCCCGGGUGGCGGAAUAGGCAGACGCGCUAGCUUGAGGGGCUAGUUCCCUUAGGGGAGUGCUGGUUCGACUCCAGUCCCGGGCA
rnacentral:tRNA from 1 species